rnacentral:rRNA from 1 species
GACGAACCGUGCAAACGUUGUUCGGAAUCACUGGGCUUAAAGGGCGCGUAGGCGGGUUCGCAAGUCUGUGGUGAAAGCCUCCAGCUUAACUGGAGAAGUGCCGUGGAUACUGCGAAUCUUGAGGAGGGUAGGGGCAUCUGGAACGCUGGGUGGAGCGGUGAAAUGCGUUGAUAUCCAGCGGAACUCCGGUGGCGAAGGCGAGGUGCUGGACCCUUUCUGACGCUGAGGCGCGAAAGCCAGGGGAGCAAACGGG